rnacentral:rRNA from 1 species
GAUGAACGCUGGCGGCGUGCCUAACACAUGCAAGUCGAGCGAGGGUUUGCUCAGUAUUGAGUAUUCUAAGUCUAGAAUGUUCAAUUCUGAGCAAAACCAAGCGGCGGACGGGUGAGUAACGCGUGGGUAACCUGCCCUAUACACAUGGAUAACAUACUGAAAAGUUUACUAAUACAUGAUAAUAUAUAUUUGCGGCAUCGCAGAUAUAUCAAAGUGUUAGCGGUAUAGGAUGGACCCGCGUCUGAUUAGCUAGUUGGUGAGAUAACUGCCCACCAAGGCGACGAUCAGUAGCCGACCUGAGAGGGUGAUCGGCCACAUUGGAACUGAGACACGGUCCAAACUCCUACGGGAGGCAGCAGUGGGGAAUAUUGCACAAUGGGCGAAAGCCUGAUGCAGCAACGCCGCGUGAACGAUGAAGGUCUUCGGAUCGUAAAGUUCUGUUGCAGGGGAAGA